rnacentral:rRNA from 1 species
UUGACCUCGGAUCAGGUAGGGAUACCCGCUGAACUUAAGCAUAUCAAUAAGCGGAGGAGANGAAACCAACAGGGAUUGCCUCAAUAACGGCGAGUGAAGCGGCACAGCUCAAAUUUGAAAUCUGGNCCC